GGGGCUGGGGUUAGGGUUUGUGGGUAAUGAGGAUGGAGUGCCCAUUUUAGAUUUGACAGAAUGUCGAAGUCCUCUGAGUUUAGGUUUGUGAGAGGACCACAUUUUGGUUCUUGUCAUUUUAAUGAAAAGGAUGAAACCUUUCGGCUUCCUGUAAAAAUUUUGCCGGAAAAAAUGGCGUGAGGAAGGAAGUCGACGAGGUUUAUCGGGAGUGUUGGCGAGGUUUUUGGAAAAUUGGCGGAAAUGCUGGGCCUUUUAAAAUGUGGGGUAGACAUGUGGUAAUUUGGGUCAUGCUUAGGGUUAGGCAUAAGGUUCAGCAGAAGUUGCUUAAGACUUUGCUUGACAAGCAAUGUCAUCAGCAAGUUUCGGCAGGUUU
rnacentral:misc_RNA from 1 species